rnacentral:rRNA from 1 species
CAGCGGCAGCUACACAUGCAGUCGAACGGUAACAGGGAUUGCUUGCAAUCCGCUGACGAGUGGCGCACGGGUGCGUAACGCGUAUGGAACCUACCCUUUACUGGGGGAUAGCCCGGAGAAAUUCGGAUUAAUACCCCGUAGUAUUGCUUAGUGGCAUCACUUGAGCAAUUAAAGCUUCGGCGGUAGAGGAUGGCCAUGCGUCCUAUUAGCUUGAUGGUGAGGUAACGGCUCACCAUUGCUACGAUAGGUAGGGGCCCUGAGAGGGGGAUCCCCCACACUGGUACUGAGACACGGACCAGACUCCUACGGGAGGCAGCAGUGAGGAAUAUUGGACAAUGGUCGAAAGACUGAUCCAGCCAUGCCGCGUGCAGGAAGACGGCCCUACGGGUUGUAAACUGCUUUUUUACGGGAAGAAUAAUGCCCACGUGUGGGCAGAUGACGGUACCGUACGAAUAAGGACCGGCUAACUCCGUGCCAGCAGCCGCGGUAAUACGGAGGGUCCGAGCGUUAUCCGGAAUCAUUGGGUUUAAAGGGUCCGCAGGCGGGCCAGUAAGUCAGGGGUGAAAGUUUGCGGCUCAACCGUAAAAUUGCCUUUGAUACUGCUGGUCUUGAGUUGUGGUGAAGUGGCCGGAAUAUGUGGUGUAGCGGUGAAAUGCAUAGAUAUCACAUAGAACACCGAUUGCGAAGGCAGGUCACUAACCACACACUGA